UACGUAGGGGGCUGGCGUUGUCCGGAAUCAUUGGGCGUAAAGAGCGUGUAGGCGGUCCGGUAAGUCCGCUGUGAAAGUCGGGGGCUCAACCCUCGAAUGCCGGUGGAUACUGUCGGGCUAGAGUGCGGAAGAGGCGAGUGGAAUUCCUGGUGUAGCGGUGAAAUGCGCAGAUAUCAGGAGGAACACCUAUUGCGAAGGCAGCUCGCUGGGACGUAACUGACGCUGAGACGCGAAAGCGUGGGGAGCAAACAGG
rnacentral:rRNA from 1 species